rnacentral:rRNA from 1 species
AGUAACGGCGAGUGAAGCGGCAACAGCUCAAUUUGAAAUCUGGCCUCUUUGGGGUCCGAGUUGUAAUUUGUAGAGGAUGUUUCGGGUACCGCCUCGGUCUAAAUUUCUUGGAACAGAAUGUCAGAGAGGGUGAGAAUCCCGUCUUGGACCGGCGGUAGGGCCCAUGUGAAACUCCUUCGACGAGUCGAGUUGUUUGGGAAUGCAGCUCAAAAUGGGUGAGUAUAUUUCAUCUAAAGCUAAAUAUUGGCCAGAGACCGAUAGCGCACAAGUAGAGUGAUCGAAAGAUGAAAAGAACUUUGAAAAGAGAGUUAAACAGUAUGUGAAAUUGUUGAAAGGGAAGCGCUUGCAACCAGACUUGAGCGCGGCGGUCCCCCCUUCCUUUGGUUGAGGUUACUCCGUCGUGGUCGGGCCAACAUCGGUUCUGGGGGCGAGUUAAAGAGCUUGGGAAUGUACCUACGUCUUCGGGCGUAGACUUAUAGCCCCGAGUGUCAUGCGACCUCCCGGGACCGAGGAACGCGCUUCGGCUCGGAUGUUGGCGUAAUGGUUGUAAGCGGUC